GACGAACGCUGGCGGCGUGCUUAACACAUGCAAGUCGAACGGAAAGGCCCUGCGUUUGUGGGGUGCUCGAGUGGCGAACGGGUGAGUAACACGUGAGUAACCUGCCCUUGACUUUGGGAUAACUUCAGGAAACUGGGGCUAAUACCGGAUAGGAGCUCCUGCUGCAUGGUGGGGGUUGGAAAGUUUCGGCGGUUGGGGAUGGACUCGCGGCUUAUCAGCUUGUUGGUGGGGUAGGGGCUUACCAAGGCUUUGACGGGUAGCCGGCCUGAGAGGGUGACCGGCCACAGUGGGACUGAGAGACGGCCCAGACGCCUACGGGACGCAGCAGUGGGGAAUAUUGCACAAUGGGCGGAAGCCAGAUGCAGCAACGCCGCGUGCGGGAUGACGGCCUUCGGGUUGUAAACCGCUUUCGCCUGUGACGAAGCGUGAGUGACGGUAAUGGGUAAAGAAGCACCGGCUAACUACGUG
rnacentral:rRNA from 1 species